UAGGGCCACCAUUAAGCCCACAGAAGCUGGUCUGGAAGAUGACAGUGUUGCUACAACUAUUACUCUCAGAGAAGCCAGUUUGAAAGGUGUCAAUGCCACAGAUCUUAAAGCUCGUUUGGAGGGUGAAAAUGAUGUGUUUCAGCUGCAGCUUACAAGCACCUCUGCCUACUACACCUACCUCCUCCUGCUCCUCAAGAGUGCCCUGUACUUGUCCAUCGUCACCUUCUGUCUGUUUAGAAGAAUAGCUGUCUGUGAUGAUGUGAAGAGGUCCUAACAGAUGGUGGCACAAAGAUUCGUCUUGUCUUCAUCAAUUAUUGUCCAAAACAGCAUCUACAGAGGGUGUAGCUUGGCUGGCUUGCGGGGCUCUGACUCCUUAAUGUUACAAGUGUAUUUUUCUAUCAUUACUGCAUUAGAUUUUCCAACUCACAGCCCCUCUCGCAUCCCAAAUCAUUCUGGUCCUAGUGCGCACAGCUCAAUGCUUUUAGUUAUGACCCAUCACGUAGAUAAUACCCUACAAGCUUUCACUUCACAAACCCUGCAAAGCCUUCUUUGCCUCUUGAAUUUGUACUUUGUUUUUCUU